rnacentral:rRNA from 1 species
AGCAGCCGCGGUAAUUCCAGCUCCAAUAGCGUAUAUUAAAGUUGUUGCAGUUAAAAGCUGUAGUUGAAUUUCGGGCUAGACUUGUUGGCGGCACAAUGUGUCGCUGGCCUGUCGAACCUACCUUCUGGGUAACCAAGUUCUCUUUACUGAGUGCUUGGGGAACCAGGACCUUUUACUUGAAAAAAUUAGAGUGUUUAAAAGCAAGCUAACGCUUGAAUACAUUAGCAUGGAAUAAUAAAUAGGACGUUCGAUCCUAUUUUGUUGGUUUCUAGGAUUG